CCUACGGGAGGCAGCAGUGAGGAAUAUUGGACAAUGGGCGCAAGCCUGAUCCAGCCAUGCCGCGUGCAGGAAGAAGCAUCUAUGGUGUGUAAACUGCUUUUGUACGGGAAGAAACACUCCUUCGUGAAGGAGCUUGACGGUACCGUAAGAAUAAGGAUCGGCUAGCUCCGUGCCAGCAGCCGCGGUAAUACGGAGGAUCCAAGCGUUAUCCGGAAUCAUUGGGUUUAAAGGGUCCGUAGGCGGUUUAAUAAGUCAGUGGUGAAAUCUGGUCGCUUAACGAUCAAACGGCCAUUGAUACUGUUAGACUUGAAUUAUUUGGAAGUAACUAGAAUAUGUAGUGUAGCGGUGAAAUGCUUAGAUAUUACAUGGAAUACCAAUUGCGAAGGCAGGUUACUACAAAUGGAUUGACGCUGAUGGACGAAAGCGUGGGGAGCGAACAGGAUUAGAUACCCUGGUAGUCCACGCCGUAAACGAUGGAUACUAGCUGUUGGGAGUAAUCUCAGUGGCUAAGCGAAAGUGAUAAGUAUCCCACCUGGGGAGUACGAACGCAAAGUUUGAAACUCAAAAGUGAAAGUUACGACGG
rnacentral:rRNA from 1 species